rnacentral:rRNA from 1 species
AUUGAACGCUGGCGGCAUGCUUUACACAUGCAAGUCGAACGGUAACAGGCCUUCGGGUGCUGACGAGUGGCGAACGGGUGAGUAAUGCAUCGGAACAUACCCAGUCGUGGGGGAUAACGUAGCGAAAGUUACGCUAAUACCGCAUACGUCCUGAGGGAGAAAGCGGGGGAUCGUAAGACCUCGCGCGAUUGGAGUGGCCGAUGUCAGAUUAGCUAGUUGGUGGGGUAAAGGCCCACCAAGGCGACGAUCUGUAGCGGGUCUGAGAGGAUGAUCCGCCACACUGGGACUGAGACACGGCCCAGACUCCUACGGGAGGCAGCAGUGGGGAAUUUUUGGACAAUGGGGGAAACCCUGAUCCAGCCAUGCCGCGUGCGGGAAGAAGGCCUCGGUUGU